rnacentral:rRNA from 1 species
UACAGAGGGGGCUAGCGUUAUUCGGAAUUAUUGGGCGUAAAGGGCGCGUAGGCGGCCAUGCGUGUCUUCCGUGAAAUCCCUCGGCUUAACUGAGGACGUGCGGAAGAAACUGCAAGGCUCGAGUCCGGGAGAGGGGGAUGGAAUUCCCAGUGUAGCGGUGAAAUGCGUAGAUAUUGGGAGGAACACCGGUGGCGAAGGCGGCCCCCUGGACCGGAACUGACGCUGAGGCGCGAAAGCGUGGGUAGCAAACGGG